rnacentral:rRNA from 1 species
UAUUGGACAAUGGGCGAAAGCCUGAUCCAGCAAUGCCGCGUGAGUGAUGAAGGCCUUAGGGUUGUAAAGCUCUUUUACCCGGGAUGAUAAUGACAGUACCGGGAGAAUAAGCCCCGGCUAACUCCGUGCCAGCAGCCGCGGUAAUAA